rnacentral:rRNA from 1 species
CCUACGGGAGGCAGCAGUGGGGAAUAUUGCACAAUGGGGGAAACCCUGAUGCAGCAACGCCGCGUGAGUGAUGAAGGUUUUCGGAUCGUAAAGCUCUGUCUUCAGGGACGAUAAUGACGGUACCUGAGGAGGAAGCCACGGCUAACUACGUGCCAGCAGCCGCGGUAAUACGUAGGUGGCGAGCGUUGUCCGGAUUUACUGGGCGUAAAGGGAGCGUAGGCGGAUUUUUAAGUGAGAUGUGAAAUACCCGGGCUCAACUUGGGUGCUGCAUUUCAAACUGGAAGUCUAGAGUGCAGGAGAGGAGAGUGGAAUUCCUAGUGUAGCGGUGAAAUGCGUAGAGAUUAGGAAGAACACCAGUGGCGAAGGCGACUCUCUGGACUGUAACUGACGCUGAGGCUCGAAAGCGUGGGGAGCAAACAGGAUUAGAUACCCCAGUAGU